rnacentral:rRNA from 1 species
CAGCAGUAGCCGCGGCAAUACAGAGGGUGCGAGCGUUAAUCGGAUUUACUGGGCGUAAAGCGUGCGUAGGCGGCUUUUUAAGUCGGAUGUGAAAUCCCUGAGCUUAACUUAGGAAUUGCAUUCGAUACUGGGAAGCUAGAGUAUGGGAGAGGAUGGUAGAAUUCCAGGUGUAGCGGUGAAAUGCGUAGAGAUCUGGAGGAAUACCGAUGGCGAAGGCAGCCAUCUGGCCUAAUACUGACGCUGAGGUACGAAAGCAUGGGGAGCAAACAGGAUUAGAUACCCCCGUAGUCCCUGUCUCUUAUAC